UACAUGUUAUUUAUGAGUUUAUUUUACUUCUAAUUUGACCAGUGGGCUCACAUUCUGAUGCCUUAUAAAAGGACUGCAAACAUUCAUAUAUGUCAAUUGUACUAGCAGCACUAGUGAAUUGGUUUUCCAGGUCCUGGAAAGGCGAUUCCAAGGUGUUGCUGUCAAUGUUGAGAAUGACGACAUCUUCCAGGGCUUUGCUCCUCACCCUCUAAAGAUAUCCAAGAGAAAAUAGAGAAACAAAGAGAGACUGUUCCCAGUCAGUUGCUAAUGUUAACUGUCACCCAUCUACACCUGAUCUCUCAUCACCCUUGGCGAGGGUUCCUUGGUUCACGACACUGAACGGUUCUUAUAAGCAUCAUAGAAACUGAAGAGAUGGAUGGGCCUAAGGUACUCAACCCACCUGCUGUAAAGGCAUGAGAACCCACUUACCAGCCUCCUAUAGGUCAAUCCUCUAUCAACCUAACCCCAGCAUGCCACAAGCAGGGCCAUCCUGACUGCACAAGCAAGUCCAAGUAACUGCUUGGGGUGACAGUGAUUUUGAGGGUCAUCAAAGAAGCAGAAUGCGAUCCCAAAGGUUCAGGCCCCGAAUCCUUUGCAAUGUCACUGGCAACACUGGGAUAUGGCUCUUGAGUUGUUCAGUGAAGCUGCUAAGCAACUGCAAAGUGUCUUGAGCUGGCCUGGACCAUUAGCAGAGGGUGAGCAACUGAAGAAAGAAGCUUGCUGAGCAAAGAGCUCCUACUGAUACACCAAGCAAUAUGUUGCAAUACGAAGUUGCAGGGACACAAAACUCCCAAGGUUACCUGGGAGAAAAUUCAUUUCUGAACUCAGAGAUGCUGAUCAGACUUAGAGUAUGAGCAAAACCCAUCUCAUACAGUGUCCCCAGGUCUCCCGAGGCUCAGAGCGAGAGAUUCAGGAGAAGGAGCCUGAGACUUGGCAUAUCAGGAAGGAGUUUGAUAGGGUAGGGGCAAAGUCAGUGGCUCCUGAUGGAGGCAGGGGAUGGUGCCUGGUGCGUCAGGGGAACAGACCCUGGCUAUGCUUCAUAGUGGCUCAGGGAUGGAGCCUGAUGCAUGUGGGAACAAAGCAAACAGCAAGAUCUCUUGAAGCCAAGCAGAAAAUAGUCUAGUCUUCCUCCUCUGGCUGUGGUCCCUCACCUGAGAUUUAAAUCCUUCUCUUGGAGACCAUGAGAAGGAGGCUAAAACCCCUGAGGUCCAGGUCAAAUAUUGAGAGAUGGCACUACAAUUUUUCCAAAAGAACUGGGAGUGGGGGUAAGGUGAGGGAUCAUUCAAGACAGCUGAGUGGGAGAGCAAGAUGUGGCUUACAGAUAUAACCCACUGGGAAGUUCUCCUGUGCAAGCCUCACAUACAUGCCCUUGCCCAGACCAUUCAUUUCAAUUAGGGUUUCGCAGGAAAAUUUCCUAGUGUUAAUUAUUGGAAGAAAGAUGGCGUCAUUUGAAUUUUGAAUUUGAAUUGCUGCCCUAGGUGUCAGUGCUCUGUUGGUGUUCACCCAACCUGCUUCCCCCCCACACCCACCUAUUCAUGGAACACUUGAUUCCUAUUCUUUAUUAUACUGAACUUCUGUGACACACACCCUUAGGGGUCAUGGUUGGGAGUGGGGCAAGAGCAACUUCUGUUUUGUUCUUUCAUUUAUGUUCCAGAAGGGAGAUAGUUAGGGUCCUCCAGAUGGCUAGGAUUGACUAGCUUUACCUGUGAUGCUCUGACUGACUUCCUUCCGUCACAGCCUGAUAUGCUUAGGGAAGCUUAUCUGCCCCUCCUCCUUCUGCCCUUUGCUUCUUCUCUUCUUCGACUGUCCAAGAGAGAGGAGACAUCUUUGUCUUUGCUCUCUCUCCUGAGCCAUGAGGGCAAUACCCAAGUCUGGGCAUUGCACCUCCAACUUAGUUAGAACUAGGUAUGCCUUUCCUAUCUACUAUGUAUUUCUAUAAAUAAAGUAGCUUUUCUUAUUUUACUAAGUCUUAAGUCUCAGUGGUCCUAAUGCAGGGUAAAAGCCUGCCACUUAGUUAAACGCACACACUGGCACACACGCAUCUCAGACCGUUGACGAUCUCUGCUCAUUUAUACAAAUUUACAUAACAGACUGUAGGGCUCAAGAUGGAUUUACAAACUCACUUCCAUGAGGCUGGUGUGGACUCCUAUGAGGUAGGGCAUGGGGGCACUGUUGAGGAAAGAAAGAAAGAGUCAGAGUUGGUUCCAGAUUUGUAUAGGUUCAUGGCCAAGAGACUACCGAUUGGGUCCUCCCAGUUUCACUUUGCCCCCGACAUACAAAAAAAAGACAUGUCCUUGAGAACUCAUGUGUCUGCUUUAGGAGGGAAUUGGGCAAGAAGGACCUCUUAACAGUCGCUGGGCCCUGGCAAGUGUCCAACCCUUCCCAGAGCUGAUGCCAGAGACAUAGGGCAAGCAAAAUGGAGAGCAGACAGGGGCAGGAAGAGAAAGACUUCUUUCCCCCUCUUGUCUCUUAAUACUCCAACUUUCCCUCCUUUUUCCUACAAUAGCCUUCCGUGAAAACAGACCUCAGUUUGAGCUACGACUUCCUAAAGCACAAUGGAGGCUCAGCUUCUCAAGAUAUGAAGUAGUAGAAUUAAGACAACUGGCUAGGAGUCUAUGGAAGUGCCUGUCUUGCCCUCAUCCCAGAGUCUUUGCAUCUGUCAUCUGUUUAGUUGUAUGCCACUUUUCCAGCAGGCACCCUCAAGGGCUCCCCCACGUCAGAGGGCAGGAAGGCUUGAGCCUGGACACCUUUCAAUGAAGCAGUGCCUGGAAGGCACCGUGCAAGGGGAUACAAAAACACCAGCAAGAAAAACAUCUGUUCUCUCACUGGUACAAUAUAGGCCUCCAUCUCUUCCUUCCUCCAAGCUUCCUCCAAUUUAACCUCAAGUUAAAUGGAAAGACUAGUCUGGCUUGGCCCUUAAGGGCAAAUGCAGCCUUCAUCACUCUGGCUGCGCUUCCUCCUUACCUGCUGUUAUCAGGCUCCAGGCACUCUGUGGGAUGCUUCCACCACUUUCAGUUUUAUACCCCUGUUCUGCAUGGAGUUUCAAAGAAGGAAAUGCAAUUGCUUACCAACAGUAGUCAAGGAGGUGCGAGGGCAAUGCUGGGAUGUAGAUGUGCUGCCAGUGCAUAGGAUACAACAUGGAGAGGGAGGCCUGCACACAGGCUGUGAGCUGCAAGGAGAUAGAGACACUUUUCCCCCAUUAGGACAGCCUAACCCUGCUCAGAAGCCAGAUUAAAUGACGGAGUACAACUACACAUGGAGGGUGGAGUAAGAAAAAUAAGAUUUUGCCUUAAUAUGAUGCUUCUGAGCAUUGAAGGGGCUUCACAUACAUUGGGCCCAGUUCUGAUGCAACACUAAGCCAAACUGUAGCUUAUUUUAUUUAUUUAUUUAUUUAACAAGGUAAAGAUCACAGCUGUUGCACUCCUGCUGUUGCCAUGCUACCUGGGGCUAAGCUACGGUUGGCUUUGUGUUAUGUCCAAACCCUGAUGGGCCCCUGAUGGGCCCACUUGAUCAGACCCAUUGGCAGCCAUGCUUCCAAAUAAAAGAGGCUCUGUGUGACUAUAGCAGUGCCUCUAACAACUGCCAGUGGGCACGGCCAGCAGGUGUGAACCUACUCCUUCCUUACGUAUUCCCUGAACACGUGAGGAGGGCCACGGAAUACAGGAAGUCGAUGGGCAGGGUCACAAUGCGGUACAUCCCUGUGUCCAUUUUGUGUCGCACCUUCUCACAUACAUUGCACAACGUUAGUGUGCUUCUGAAGUGUGCAAGGCAAAUGCACUUCCCUCAGCAGUGCUACACUAUAGCUCCUAAAGUCCUCCCACCUCGCUUGCCCAAGUGUAGCCAAUGCAUUGGAAAUUACUAUGGUGCUAUGAAGGUUCCUGGGUGAUUUGGGGCUAGUUGACAUCUCUCUCAGUCCGGCCUACCUAACAGGUCUGUAGUGAGAAUAUAAUGGGGUAGCCCUCUGUUUGCACUGCCCCUGAGCUCCUGGAAGGAAGGAGUGGGAUACAAUUGCCAUGGUAAAUAGAUACAGAAAUGAAAAUUAAAAACAGGUGCCAUGUCCAAAUCCCCCAAGUUACAGGAUGUUCCUUACAGCUGGAUUUAGCAGCUGUAGAAGCGCUACCUCUUUCCUAAAGUUGCCAGGUCUUGGGACAUGAUGUGAAGUGUUGGGGUCAUAGUCUUCUCCUUUUCAGGCUCUAGAGCAUUGGUGUCCAACACAGUUGCCACUUGCCACAUGUAGUGAAAUGGCUAUUGACCUGUAGCAAAUUGGUACUUUACUUUUGUUUGUUUUAAAAUAAUUUUUAAAACAACAUUUUUUUUUACAUGUGUAUCAGUUUUUAAAAGUGUAGACCUUCCUCCCCUAACAAUCACAGAUUCGUCCUUGGAUCCUAAUCACUUUUCUGAUUUUGAAGAGUACAGAAUUGUUGUUGACUUCAUGCAUGUUCCGUUGUACCUUAACAUCUACAAUUCUAUCUCAAGAGCUUGUGAGGCUUCUUUCUUUGGAGAGGCACCUUUUCAAGAUAGAUGCGAUGUUGCUUCAAAGCACUCAAUAUUUGAAAGGUGAUUCAAUUGUUAUGAUGUGAACUCAUAUUUUAAAUCAAAGUAAGUUUGCGGUUCUAAAUAGUUAUUCCAAAACUGUUUUCAAUUUUUGAUUCAAUGUGGCUCUGCGAAUCAACUUUUUCUGUGGUUAAAGUGGUGAAAUUAAAAUAUAGGUCACAGAUAUUGGGCAAGAAUUGGAGAUUGAAUUGAGAUGUAGUCUAAUUGAUUUUAUGCCUGAUUUCCCUGCACUACGUAAAUGAAAAGAUAUAUCAAAUUGCUCAUUAAUUCUAUCAAUAAGUAAUUCAAAACAGUAUUGUGUAUUUCUCUACCCUCAAAAACACAGGGUUUUUUUUUUGUCAUGUGGCGAAAAUGUUAAACACAUUUGCCAACAAUUUUGGCAAGUAUAAAAAAACAGUUGGACACCUCUGCUCAAGAUGGAAUCAGAAUCCAGGGGGCGGGGAUGGGGGUGGGAAGAGAGGCUUGCCUAUUUUCUGCUUGUCUUGAUGAAAGCUUUUGCUGUUACUUCUACCCCCAUGUCCAUCUGGCUCCACCAGGCUGAGCCACUGAACACAGUUAGCUCUUCCCUGACCUGCCAAGUGCCACCCCCUGCUCUCACCUGGCAACACUAUUCCCUAACCCUACUAGGCAGCACCCCCUAACUCCCAGGCCUCUGCCACUUACAUUUCAGGGUCUGGAUCUCAGGAGGCCUGGCCCCUCUGUGAGACACCCUUCUCCCUCCCCUCAUCCCCUUUUCCUCACCGUGCUGAGCUUCCUGGUGGUGAGUAGGAUCCGUCGCUCAUGAAGGAGGCUCGCAUACAAAUGCAGCAUGUUGUUCACAUCCACAGCCACAACAAACUCUGUCAGGUUCCUCUGCAGGAAGGAGCCAUUGUCCAGUUAAGCUCUCCAAUGCAGAGAUUGCACACUGAGCCCCACCCCUGGUCUCCUCUGUACUCUCCGUUUCACCCAAGGCAGUACAAAGCAUCCACCUCACUUGCUUCACAUUGCAUUUCUGACACCUUUUGUUAUGGAGAGGCUUCUGUGCUUAGGAGCAGCAAUAGCACUUCCCAUUACUGGAAACAUAGGAAGCUGCUCUAUACUGCACCGGACCAUUGGGUCCAUCUAGCUCAGUACUGUCUGCUCUGGCUGGCAUGAGCAGCUCUCUGGGGGUCUCCUGCAGCGGUCUUUCCUCUGCAGAGGUCACCUGCUACCUGACCCUUUUUAAGUGAAGAUGCCAGGAAUUGGAUCUGGGACCUUCUGCGUGCAAGGCGUGCACUCUGCCACUGAAAUACAGUCCCUCUUCUCUUGUAUUGCUAUGUUCAGAGCAGGUUCAGCUCUUGCAUUUGCUACCUGUCAUGAAGCUGCUUGAGGUACAGCAGCAGCAGCCUGUCCACAAAAACCCAGCAACUCUUCAUUUUGCUCUCCUUCUCCUCUCUUCAAUGUACUACAGUCCUUUCUUCCCCUUCUCUGUGCAAUACCUGGUUGUUUCAAACACUUCCCACCAGGACUGGCACUAGGCAUGACUGGGCCCUUGGGCACCAAUCUGCCCCAGGCAUGCGGCGC